UGCCAGCCGCCGCGGUAAUACAGAGGGUGCGAGCGUUGUUCGGAAUCAUUGGGCGUAAAGAGCACGUAGGCGGUCUGUCAAGUCUAAUGUGAAAGCCCUGGGCUCAACCCAGGAAGUGCAUCGGAAACUGUCAGACUAGAAUCCCGGAGAGGUUGGUGGAAUUCCGAGUGUAGAGGUGAAAUUCGUAGAUAUUCGGAGGAACAUCAGUGGCGAAGGCGACCAACUGGACGGUGAUUGACGCUGAGGUGCGAGAGCGUGGGGAGCAAACAGGAUUAGAUA
rnacentral:rRNA from 1 species